ensembl:snRNA U6 U6 spliceosomal RNA
GUGCUCAUUUCAGCGGCACAAAUACUAAAGCCGAAAUGAUUCAAAGAAGAUUAGCAUGGUGCCUGCACAAGAAUGACACACAAAUUUGUGAAGCAUUCCAUAGUUUU